rnacentral:rRNA from 1 species
ACGUAGGUGGCAAGCGUUGUCCGGAAUUAUUGGGCGUAAAGCGCGCGCAGGCGGUCCUUUAAGUCUGAUGUGAAAGCCCACGGCUUAACCGUGGAGGGUCAUUGGAAACUGGUCGACUUGAGUGCAGAAGAGGGAAGUGGAAUUCCAUGUGUAGCGGUGGAAUGCGUAGAGAUCCGGAAGAACACCGGUGGCGAAGGCGGCCUGCUGGGCAGUGGCUGACACUGAGGCGCGACAGCGUGGGGAGCAAACAGGA